AUUGAACGCUGGCGGCAUGCUUUACACAUGCAAGUCGAACGGCAGCGCGGGCUUCGGCCUGGCGGCGAGUGGCGAACGGGUGAGUAAUACAUCGGAAAGUGCCCAGUAGUGGGGGAUAGCUCGGGGAAAGCCGGAUUAAUACCGCAUACGACCUGAGGGUGAAAGCGGGGGAUCUUCGGACCUCGGGCUAUUGGAGCGGCCGAUGGCAGAUUAGCUAGUUGGUGGGGUAAAGGCCUACCAAGGCGACGAUCUGUAGCUGGUCUGAGAGGACGACCAGCCACACUGGGACUGAGACACGGCCCAGACUCCUACGGGAGGCAGCAGUGGGGAAUUUUGGACAAUGGGCGAAAGCCUGAUCCAGCAAUGCCGCGUGUGUGAUGAAGGCCUUCGGGUUGUAAAGCACUUUUGGCGGGAACGAAAAGGACUGUGCCAAUACCACGGUUCGAUGACGGUACCCGCAGAAUAAGCACCGGCUAACUACGUG
rnacentral:rRNA from 1 species